rnacentral:rRNA from 1 species
GAAUUUUUGGCAAUGGGCGAAAGCCUGACCAAGCAACGCCGCGUGGAUGAUGAAGUCUCUUGGGACGUAAAAUCCUUUCGACAGGGAAGAAAGCCGCAAGGUCUGACGGUACCUGUAGAAGAAGCCCCGGCUAACUCCGCGCCAGCAGCCGCGGUAAUACGGGGGGGGCAAGCGUUGUUCGGAAUUACUGGGCGUAAAGGGCGCGUAGGCGGUUUGCUAAGUUGGAUGUGAAAACUCUGGGCUCAACCCAGAGCCUGCAUCCAAAACUGGCUGGCUAGAGUUCUGGAGGGGGAAGCGGAAUUCCUGGUGUAGCGGUGAAAUGCGUAGAUAUCAGGAGGAACACCGGUGGCGAAGGCGGCUUCCUGGACAGAAACUGACGCUGAGGCGCGAAAGCUAGGGGAGCAAACAGG